rnacentral:rRNA from 1 species
UGGACGUCCCUCCCAUGGGACAAUGAUCCUUCCGCAGUGUACACUUGUAGAAGCCUUAGCGGGUCCAAAAGACCGGUUCCGCGACUCAAAAUAAGAGAUGACCCCAUCCUCCACAUUGUGGGCGGGUGGCGCUAGUCGGUCCCAUGUCCAUGUUCUAUGUGACGGGGCGCCGGCGACACUAUCGAAUUGCGGGGAUACCCUAAAGGGCGGCCGUACGAACCCCGAGGUGAAAGUCUCGGGCUGCGAUAGUUAACAGCUAUCGGAAACGUAAAAAUCGGUCGCCAUGAUCCCCUGCCCGAGGAGGGGGGAAAUGGGCAAUCCGCAGCCAAGGGCCUAAGGCCGUCUUCAAGGGCGGCUACGGUCAAGGUUCACAGACUAAGUGGUAGUGGGUGUGGUCUAUGUGGCCAUGCUUAAGAUAUAGUCGGGCCAUCAGGGAAACCUGAUGGGUAAGUACACUGCAUGUGGCAAGAGUUAAUUAACCCUUCCCUACGUCUUCUGACGUUCUGUAAACCGUUCCGUAGGUGAACCUGCGGAAGGAUCAUUAAAGAGUAAGGGUCAUUCGUGGCCCGACCUCCAACCCUUUGUUGUUAUAACUACCUCGUUGCUUUGGCGGGACCGCUCGGUCUCGAGCUGCCGGUCUUCGGCCCGGCAAGCGCCCGCCAGAGUCUACUCAAACUCUUGUUUUAACCGGUCGUCUGAGUUAAACUUUUAAUUAAAUUAAAACUUUCAACAACGGAUCUCUUGGUUCUCGCAUCGAUGAAGAACGCAGCGAAAUGCGAUAAGUAAUGUGAAUUGCAGAAUUCAGUGAAUCAUCGAAUCUUUGAACGCACAUUGCGCUCCUGGUAUUCCGGGGAGCAUGCCUGUUCGAGCGUCAUUACACCACUCAAGCACCGCUUGGUAUUAGGCCGUCGUCUUCCGCAAGGUGGGCGUGCCUCAAACACCUCGGCGGAGCCUCACCGGCUUUGGGCGUAGUAGAAUUUCUCAACGUCUUGUAAGCACCGGCUUGACUCCUUUGCCGUUAAAACCCCAAUUUUUUAACAGGUUGACCUCGGAUCAGGUAGGGAUACCCGCUGAACUUAAGCAUAUCAAUAAGCGGAGGAAAAGAAACCAACAGGGAUUGCCCUAGUAACGGCGAGUGAAGCGGCAACAGCUCAAAUUUGAAAUCUGGCACUUGUGUCCGAGUUGUAAUUUGUAGAGGAUGCUUUUAGGCAGCCACCGGUCUAAGUUCCUUGGAACAGGACGUCAUAGAGGGUGAGAAUCCCGUAUGUGACCGGACAGGCACCUUCUGUAAAGCUCCUUCGACGAGUCGAGUUGUUUGGGAAUGCAGCUCUAAAUGGGAGGUAAAUUUCUUCUAAAGCUAAAUACCGGCGAGAGACCGAUAGCGCACAAGUAGAGUGAUCGAAAGAUGAAAAGCACUUUGGAAAGAGAGUUAAAAAGCACGUGAAAUUGUUGAAAGGGAAGCGCUUGCAAUCAGACUUGUCCUCGGGUGUUCCGCCGGUCUUCUGACCGGUCUACUCAUUCGGGGGCAGGCCAGCAUCACUUUCGGCGGCCGGAUAAAGGCAUUGGGAAUGUAGCUCAACCUUCGGGGGGAGUGUUAUAGCCCAGUGUGUAAUACGGCCAGCCGGGAGUGAGGUCCGCGCUC